rnacentral:rRNA from 1 species
CAAGUUUUUAAGGGCGCACGGUGGAUGCCUUGGCACCAGGAACCGAUGAAGGACGUGGGAGGCCACGAUAGUCCCCGGGGAGUCGUCAACCAGGCUUUGAUCCGGGGGUUUCCGAAUGGGGAAACCCGGCAGUCGUCAUGGGCUGUCACCCGCUGCUGAACACAUAGGCAGUGUGGAGGGAACGCGGGGAAGUGAAACAUCUCAGUACCCGCAGGAAGAGAAAACAACCGUGAUUCCGGGAGUAGUGGCGAGCGAAACCGGAUGAGGCUAAACCGUAUACGUGUGAGACCCGGCAGGGGUUGCGUAUGCGGGGUUGUGGGAUCUCUCUUCCACGGUCUGCCGGCCGUGGGACGAGUCAGAAACCGUUGAUGUAGGCGAAGGACAUGCGAAAGGUCCGGCGUAGAGGGUAAGACCCCCGUAGUCGAAACGUCAGCGGCUCGUUUGAGAGACACCCAAGUAGCACGGGGCCCGAGAAAUCCCGUGUGAAUCUGGCGGGACCACCCGCUAAGCCUAAAUAUUCCCUGGUGACCGAUAGCGGAUAGUACCGUGAGGGAAUGGUGAAAAGUACCCCGGGAGGGGAGUGAAAUAGUACCUGAAACCGUGUGCCUACAAGCCGUGGGAGCGUCGGAACAAGGCUUGCCUUGUUCUCGUGACUGCGUGCCUUUUGAAGAAUGAGCCUGCGAGUUUGCGGUGUGUUGCGAGGUUAACCCGAGUGGGGAAGCCGUAGCGAAAGCGAGUCCGAAUAGGGCGAUUCAGUAGCGCGCUCAAGACCCGAAGCGGAGUGAUCUAGCCAUGGGCAGGUUGAAGCGGAGGUAAGACUUCGUGGAGGACCGAACCCACCAGGGUUGAAAACCUGGGGGAUGACCUGUGGUUAGGGGUGAAAGGCCAAUCAAACUCCGUGAUAGCUGGUUCUCCCCGAAAUGCAUUUAGGUGCAGCGUCGUGUGUUUCUUGCCGGAGGUAGAGCACUGGAUAGGCGAUGGGCCCUACCGGGUUACUGACCUUAGCCAAACUCCGAAUGCCGGUAAGUGAGAGCGCGGCAGUGAGACUGUGGGGGAUAAGCUCCAUGGUCGAGAGGGAAACAGCCCAGAGCAUCGACUAAGGCCCCUAAGCGUACGCUAAGUGGGAAAGGAUGUGGAGUCGCAGAGACAACCAGGAGGUUGGCUUAGAAGCAGCCACCCUUGAAAGAGUGCGUAAUAGCUCACUGGUCUAGUGAUUCCGCGCCGACAAUGUAGCGGGGCUCAAGCGUACCGCCGAAGUCGUGUCAUUGCGAUAUAUACCCCCAACGGGGAUCGUGAUGGGUAGGGGAGCGUCGUGUGCCGGGUGAAGCAGCACCGGAAGGUAGUUGUGGACGGUUCACGAGUGAGAAUGCAGGCAUGAGUAGCGAUUCACACGUGAGAAACGUGUGCGCCGAUUGACUAAGGGUUCCUGGGUCAAGCUGAUCUGCCCAGGGUAAGUCGGGACCUAAGGCGAGGCCGACAGGCGUAGUCGAUGGAUAACCGGUUGAUAUUCCGGUACCCGCUGUGAAGCGUCAAACAUCGAGCAUCGUGAUGCUAAGGCCGUGAAGCCGUUCCGGACCCUUCGGGGAAAGGAAAGUGGUGGAGCCGCCGAACCAAGCGGUUAGUAGGUGAGUGAUGGGGUGACGCAGGAAGGUAGUCCAUCCCGGGCGGUGGUUGUCCCGGGGUAAGGGUGUAGGCCGGACGGUAGGUAAAUCCGCCGUUCAUUAAGGCUGAGACCUGAUGCCGAGCCGAUUGUGGUGAAGUGGAUGAUCCUAUGCUGUCGAGAAAAGCCUCUAGCGAGUUUCAUGGCGGCCCGUACCCUAAACCGACUCAGGUGGUCAGGUAGAGAAUACCGAGGCGUUCGGGUGAACUAUGGUUAAGGAACUCGGCAAAAUGCCCCCGUAACUUCGGGAGAAGGGGGGCCACAUCUUGGNNNNNNNNNNNNNNNNNNNNNNNNNNNNNNNNNNNNNNNNNNNNNNNNNNNNNNNNNNNNNNNNNNNNNNNNNNNNNNNNNNNNNNNNNNNNNNGUCUGAGCUGGGGGUGGCCGCAGAGACCAGCGAGAAGCGACUGUUUACUAAAAACACAGGUCCGUGCGAAGCCGUAAGGCGAUGUAUACGGACUGACGCCUGCCCGGUGCUGGAACGUUAAGGGGACCGGUUAGUCGACCUUCGGGUCGGCGAAGCUGAGAACUUAAGCGCCAGUAAACGGCGGUGGUAACUAUAACCAUCCUAAGGUAGCGAAAUUCCUUGUCGGGUAAGUUCCGACCUGCACGAAUGGCGUAACGACUUCUCGACUGUCUCAACCAUAGGCCCGGUGAAAUUGCACUACGAGUAAAGAUGCUCGUUUCGCGCAGCAGGACGGAAAGACCCCGGGACCUUUACUACAGUUUGAUAUUGGUGUUCGGUUCGGCUUGUGUAGGAUAGCUGGGAGACUUUGAAGCUCACACGCCAGUGUGGGUGGAGUCGUCGUUGAAAUACCAGUCUGGUCGUGCUGGAUGUCUAACCUGGGUCCGUGAUCCGGAUCAGGGACAGUGUCUGAUGGGUAGUUUAACUGGGGCGGUUGCCUCCUAAAGAGUAACGGAGGCGCCCAAAGGUUCCCUCAGCCUGGUUGGCAAUCAGGUGUUGAGUGUAAGUGCACAAGGGAGCUUGACUGUGAGACCGACGGGUCGAGCAGGGACGAAAGUCGGGACUAGUGAUCCGGCGGUGGCUUGUGGAAGCGCCGUCGCUCAACGGAUAAAAGGUACCCCGGGGAUAACAGGCUGAUCUUCCCCAAGAGUCCAUAUCGACGGGAUGGUUUGGCACCUCGAUGUCGGCUCGUCGCAUCCUGGGGCUGGAGUCGGUCCCAAGGGUUGGGCUGUUCGCCCAUUAAAGCGGUACGCGAGCUGGGUUUAGAACGUCGUGAGACAGUUCGGUCCCUAUCCGCUGUGCGCGUAGGAGUCUUGAGAAGGGCUGUCCCUAGUACGAGAGGACCGGGACGGACGAACCUCUGGUGUGCCAGUUGUUCUGCCAAGGGCAUGGCUGGUUGGCUACGUUCGGGAGGGAUAACCGCUGAAAGCAUCUAAGCGGGAAGCCUGCUUCGAGAUGAGGACUCCCACCUCCUAGAGAGGGUAAGGCUCCCAGUAGACGACUGGGUUGAUAGGCCGGAUAUGGAAGCACGGUAACGUGUGGAGUUGACCGGUACUAAUAGGCCGAGGGCUUGUCC